AACAUCCAACCCCCUAAAAUUAUACAUACAUUCCACUAAAAAACAACUCCUAUAUCAACAUAUUUAUAUAAUAUUAAAGAGAAAGGUCGGUGGGUUUGCCACCAAACCUUUCUCUCUUAAUCUCUUAAAAUACACGUGUGUUGCCAUUUGCCACCUACCUUUCUUCUAGAUCCCUCUUUUUCUUCCUCUGUUCUCACUGAGCUCUUGAACGGUGGGAAAUCUUCUGCAGGCAUCGCAAACGGCCGCAACAUUUUCUCCAUCUUUUCUAGAGUAAGGUAUGACUAGCCAGGAGCUUUAAUUUGAUGUUCAGGUUAGUUAUGUUUUGCACAUUCCUUUUAAUUCAUGGCCUAGGGUUUGUUCUUUGGUUAUUGUCUUUGGGUUUUUUUUUUCUGCUUCUUAUUUGCAAAUUGAUGUGUGUUUUCAGUUGUUGGAUUUCAUAUGUGCUGCUCUUAUGUCAGUUUAUAAGUGAAUGAGCUUCAUGCAUAAAUGGUUGCCUUUUGUAUUUGAAUGUCAGUUACAUGUGUUGGUUAUUUACUUAAAUUUAAGUGAAGUCGUAAAGGGGAUAAAACCACAAAAUACACUCUAUAUCAACACAUGUUUAGUCCGUCAUUUUUUAUUGAAUUUUUAAAUAUUAUUCUAUUUAUGUUCAACUCAGAUAUUCACUUACUAAUACUAAUACUGUUUAGUUGUAAUUCAAGUUUAAAACGAAAACUAAACCUCAAAUCAACCACCUUAAAUAAUGAAUUCAAGUGGAACAAUAAAAAUCGUUACAUUUAUGUAGUUAAAUUUAAUGUUGAUUCCAUAAUUUAACGGUUUAGUAAAAACAAUUAGCGCGAUGUAUGGAGCGGGUGUUCUCAGCCUCCCUUAUGCAAUGUCUGAACUGGGAUGGGGUCUUGGUGUUGCGGUUUUGGUGAUAUCAUGGGUCGUAACUCUCUACACAUUAUGGCAAAUGGUUAAAAUGCACGAAAUGGUGCCUGGAAAACGGUUCGACCGAUGCCACGAGCUCGGGCAGCAUGAUUUUGGUGAGAAACUGGGUCUAUACAUUGUGGUUCCACAACAGUUGGUUGUAGAAGUUGGUGUGUGCAUUGUUUAUAUGGUCACUGGAGGAAAAUCAUUACAGAAUUUUCAUAAAUUAGUUUGCAUAGACCCCUGCAACAUAUUAAACUUACCUUUUUUAUUAUGAUCUUUGCCUCUGUUCAUUUUGUUCUUUCGCAUCUACCCAACUUUAAUUCCAUCUCUGGAGUUUCAUUGGCUGCAGCUGUCAUGUCUCUCAGGUAAUUGCUAAUUUUGACAUAAGAAAAAAAAAGAAGUUUUAUAGUGAAGCCGCAUGUCAAGUUGCAACUUUAGGCUAUGUGAACUUAAUUUCAUAAGAAGUUUUAUGGUGAAGCCGGAGCUUUGUGUAAAAGAAAAAAAAAGAAGAACAACUUGGUCUAUACAUGUUCAUAUUCCUUCAAAAGAAUAACACGAGCGUGACAAUUGCGAACCAUUAUAUAUUCGGUAGUUCUUACCACCCCUGUUUUAGUUGAGCAUCAUAGUUUUUUCCACUUUUGGGAUGUAUUUGAAUUGAGUCGUUACUUGAGAAAAUCUUUAUCCAUUCCUUUGUAAAAAGAGCCUUUUGUUUUGAAGAAAUUGUAUUAUUAUGGUA